rnacentral:rRNA from 1 species
AUUGAACGCUGGCGGCAUGCUUUACACAUGCAAGUCGAACGGUAACAGGUUAAGCUGACGAGUGGCGAACGGGUGAGUAAUGCAUCGGAACGUGCCCGAUCGUGGGGGAUAACACUUCGAAAGAAGUGCUAAUACCGCAUACGAUCUGAGGAUGAAAGCGGGGGACCGUAAGGCCUCGCGCGAUCGGAGCGGCCGAUGUCAGAUUAGGUAGUUGGUGGGGUAAAGGCGCACCAAGGCGACGAUCUGUAGCUGGUCUGAGAGGACGACCAGCCACACGGGGACUGAGACACGGCCCAGACUCCUACGGGAGGCAGCAGUGGGGAAUUUUGGACAAUGGGCGAAAGCCUGAUCCAGUAAUGCCGCGUGCAGGAAGAAGGCCUUCGGGUUGUAAACUGCUUUUGUACGGAGAGAAAAGGCUCUCUCUAAUACAGGGGGCUCAUGACGGUACCGUAAGAAUAAGCACCGGCUAACUACGUGCCAGCCGCCGCUGUAA